rnacentral:rRNA from 1 species
UACGAAGGGGGCUAGCGUUGUUCGGAAUUACUGGGCGUAAAGCGCGCGUAGGCGGUGAUCUUUGUCAGAGGGGAAAGCCUGGGGCUCAACUCCAGAAUUGCCUUUGAAACGGGAUCGCUUGAGUCCGAGAGAGGAUGGCGGAAUUCCUAGUGUAGAGGUGAAAUUCGUAGAUAUUAGGAAGAACACCGGUGGCGGAGGCGGCCAUCUGGCUCGGUACUGACGCUCAGGCGCGAAAGCGUGGGGAGCAAACAGG